GUUUCUCUACAACCAAAUUAAUAGAUGGGUCAGGCGUGGAAUUUCUAACUCGGUUGCAAGUUCCUCAUCUUUUGGUUUAGGAUCAGGCUCGACUUCUUUUUCUUCUUCAGGAAACUCAUCAUAAAUGCCUGUGUAAGGGGUAUUUUCAAGGAUUCUCUCUAGGAUAGUUCUCCCCUCAUCUGUGAGUUUGUGUGUGAAUGAGCCUCCUGAAGCAAUGUCGAGGUGAAGAGCAGCUUCCUUGUUUAGACCACAAUAAAAGUGGUAGUGCAGUACUUG
rnacentral:lncRNA from 1 species